AGGCGGUUGCUAGGCUCCAGCGGCUCCCGGCCAGCGGGGACGUGGAGGUGACAUUUCUCUGACCCACAGGACUGUGGGCGCCCUGCCGAGCGUCGCGCGGUCUUGGGGCGACCUGCAGUGGGGCCCCUGCGGCGCAGCGCGCGGUGGGACUGGCCGGGUUCCCGCGCCGCCCAGGGCCUGUGUCUGCGCCGGUUCCUGGCAAGGGCACCUUGGCCGGGCGGCCCGCGUCCCCUGCGCUUCCCACACCCACGUGGGCGGACCCGGCCCGCAAGCUGGGCCAGCCUGCGGUUUCCGGGCACUGGGGAGUGCGCAGAGCCCCGGGCCAGCGACCGCAGCCGGGGCCCCUGGCUUCUCCCGAGCACUUUCCCCCGGACCGGUCCCUCCAGGGUGGCGGGCGGCACCCAGGGCCGGCGCUCCUCACCAACGCGCUGCAGCUACGGGCUCAGGAGGGAGCCGCAGCGUCGGAGGAGGAAAGCAUUUAAGAAUAGCACAAAGCCUUAGGCUCGAGGAAGCGUGACUGCUUACGUGUUGAAAAUAAAGGUUCUGUAAGUCCCACCGCGGGUGCAUAUUGAAAAGAAAGGGAUCAUUAGCACGCGACCCUCGCCUAGGAGUAUAUAAACCGCAGCACGACUUUCGGAUCACAAAGGCAGAGAAAAGAACACAUUGAAGGCUUUUGCUCACUUUUCCAAGUUGUUUCGUUUCGUUUUGUUUCUAAUGUGGACGAUCAUUUAAAAUGCCUCUGGUGGCCGGGCGCGGUGACUGACGCCUGUAAUCACAGCACUUUGGGAGGCCGAGGCGGGCGGAUCACCUGAGGUCAGGAAUUCGAGACCAGCCUGGGCAAUACGGUUAAACCCCCUCUCUACUAAAAAUAAAAAAAUUAGCUGGGCGUGGUGGCAUGUGCUUGUAGUCCCAGCUACUUGGGAGGCUGAGACAGAAGAAUCGCUUGAACCCGGGAGGCGGAAGUUGCAAUGAGCCAAGAUUGCGCCAUUGCAUUCCAGCCUGGGCAACAGAGCAAGACCCUGUCUCCAAAAAAAACAAAUAAAUAUAACAAAAUUCCUCUGGUAGCCGGGUGCGGUGGCUCACGCCUGUAAUCUCAGCACUUUGGGAGGCUGAGGCAGGUGGAUCACUUGAAGUCAAGAGUUUGAGACCAGCCUGGCCAAUAUAGUGAAACCUCAUCUCUACUGAAAAUACAAAAAUUAGCCAGGCGUGGUGAUGCGCUCCUGUGAUCCCAGCUACUCGGGAGGCUGAGGCGUGAGAAUCGGUUGAACCCGGGAGGUGGAGGUUGUAGUGAUCCGAGAUUGUGCCAUUGCACUCCAGCCUGGGCAACAGAGGGAGAUCCUGUCUCUAAAAUAAAAAAUAAAAGAAAUGCCUUUGGUGAACAGGAAUUCUCAACAUUAGUGACCCGCAGUGUAUUAGUGUUAAUAAUGGACAUCCCCUUUGAUCCAGCAAGCCCAUCUAGAGAUUUCCUAGGAUAGACAAGCCAGUUUGUGCAAUUUCAUGUGUACAGCAUUGUUUUUAGUAUGGAAAGAUUAGAGUUUACAUAUCUACCCAUAGGGAGAGAGUUAAAUAAAUUAUGGUGCAUCCGUUUAGUGGAUUAGUAUACAGCCAUUAGGAAUAAAGGAAUUCUUUAUGUGCUGAUAUGAAAUAUCUUUUUUAUUUUCAAGAAAAAAACCCAGGUUCUGAAUAGUGUAUAAAGUAUGCUACUCAUUGUGCAUAGGGACAAAGAAAAUAUAUACAUUCAUGUUUGCAAAGAUACUGGAGAAAUGUUAGUAGUGGCUGCCUCUAAGGAUGACCAAGAGUGACACUGACUUUUCAUUGUAUCUUCCUUUGUUCUUUUUGAAAUUUGUACAGUCUACUUAUGCUAUCUAUUCAAAAUAAGUGGUGUUAAGAAGAAAUGCCUUUGAGAAUGAAAAUGUGUCCAUCAGCUUCCUAUGAUUGAAGAAAAGCUUCCACUUGUAAUAAACCAACUUCUCUCAUCCAGUUAUCAACAUAGACCAAAAAAAAAAAGAAAAAAAAAAGGCCAGGCGCAGUGGCUCAUGCCUGUAAUCCCAGCACUUUGGGAGGUCAAGGUGGGCAGAUCACUUGAAGUCAGGAGUUCAAGACCAGUCUGGCCAACAUGGUGAAACCCUGUCUCUACUAAAAAUACAGAAAUUAGCCGGGAAUUGGUGGUGCGCACCUAUAGUUCCAGCUACUCAGGAGGCUGAGGCAGGUGAAUCGCUUGAAUCCAGGAGGCGGAGGUUGCAUUGAGAGGAGAUCAUGCCACUGCACUGGGCGGCAGAGCAAAACUCUGUCUCAAGAAGAAAAAGAAAAAAGAAAAAAGCGGAGUCGUUCUGUGAGUGAAAACACUGAAUUCCACCGGUUCCUGAUCAUAUUGCCUUUAUUUCAUUCAUUCAUUCAUUCUGGAAAUGGGGAUAAAUAGCCCGUUUGUCUUUCCUGCAGGUUUGUUACGAUGGUGAAGGCAAUUUAGAAGGAACUAUUUAGUGGAGGAUAAAAGUGUUUUGUAAAUGUUAAGAUGCAUUGUUUUGUUUCUGUCCUGUUGCCCAAUUUUCUCUCAGCCCAACACCUGCCUCUAUUUGGUUCUUAGGUUACACAUUAAUUCCAUUUGCUUAGUAAUUUAAAGAAUGUACUGUAGUACACCAAUAAGCUAACAAACUCGGGCCCUUGACCCCAAGUCACCAGUGUCACCUAGAUUCAAAAACCAAUAUAACGAGUCAAGUAUGAAUGCACAAUAUUUUAGCUAAGCCCUUCCUGUCCCACCUCUAAUGAAUCCACAUGCUGCCCCAGGGCUUGGUACAUGCUGUUAAGUAAGCAGCUUUGCUCCCUCCUGCUCCCUGUUUUUGUCUUAGGUUGGUUUCAGUCCUUCCACUGUGGAUGGAGAAGUCACAAAGAAAUGGUUUUGCAGGCAAGGAAUCUUUACUCUGUUUAGCAACUCAGUAACUUGCUAGCAAAUAAAUGGCAAAGGGUCAAAGGAAGUGGAAACAUCACUAUUUUGCAAUCCCUAUUGAAAUGAGGGAUUCAAGCAGCAAUCAUCAAUAGAAGCCAAAAUCCUCCUUUGACGGGAACUGGAUAAUCCCAAGUGCUGGACUGUCGCCCACAGAUUCUCCGCUGCUGGUCAUGAGGGGAAAAGUGCUCAACAUACUAUACAGGCAGCUUACCCAACCCCUCUGUCCCCAGGAGCUGGGAGCAGGGAGAAAUAGUGAGGAGGUUUUCAUGGUCAAAUGUAUUUAGGAGACUUAUUUGAAUCAGGCAAUUACUUAAUUUCUGCAGCUCUUCUGAGAGCCUUUACUAAGCUAUGUGAAUUGUGAUACCGCAAGAGGAACUCUCACCAUGUAGCAUUUCCCAAAUUUUUAUUGAGACAGAGUCUCACUCUGUCACCCAGGAUGGAGUGCAAUAGCGUGAUCUCAGCUCACUGCAAUCUGCUUCCCAGGUUCAAGUGAUUGUCAUGCCUCAGCCUCCCAAGUAGCUGGGAUUACAGGCCUGUGCCACUAUGCUCAGCUACUUUUUGUAUUUUUAGUAGAGACAGGGUUUCACCAUGUUGGCUGGUCUGGUCUCGAACUCCUGGUCUCAAGUGAUCCACCUGUCUCGGCUUCCCAAAGUGCUGGGAUUAGAGACGUGAGCCACUGCGCCUGGUCCUCCCAAACUUCUUUGAACAUAGAGCCCGUUUGGAAGGUGGAUUUGUGGGACUAAGCCUCCCAGGGGCUCCGGUGGCUGUACGCCCUGAUGGCUGUGCACCCCGACCGCUGUGCACCACGACAGCUUCCAUGCCUUCCAAGCUGGGGGGUGCCAUGGGAGGGCUCAGAGCCUCACCCCAGGCUGGAUGAGCUCGACUGCUUUGUAGCUGCCUGUAUGUGGCAAGUAACUAACACUCCCUAGGCCUCAAUUUUUUAAUCUAUAAAAUGAAAGCAGUAAAUGUCACAUCAUAUAAGUUGUUGAGUAUUUAUGAGAAUUAAAAGGAAUAAUCGCCAUAAAAGGCCUGAUACUGCCAAUCAUAUAUUGGACAAAUAUGAAUUUCCCUUUUUCCCUUUAUUCUACUUUAUGGCAACUCCUACCUACUAUUCUCUUUCUUUUGCUACUAAGCAGACAUAUGGGUUUGUUUGUUUGUUUUAUCAGGGAGAGGUUCUAAAUGUUGUACCCUUUAACCCUCAAAGCAUUAUCUAUUCUCUUAGAGGGUAAAGGGCAGAGAUGUUAUCCCUAUUGGUUUCUAACCUUGGAGAAGGUCAGAAACGUCAUGAGCUCUCUCUAGAUCCUCUUAUCUGCUUCUCUUACACAAUCGUUUGGUUCUGUGUGUGGUGAAAACUGAAUUGGGGGAAAAUCAGAUCGGCAGAAACCAAAUGUUGAACCAACUGGUGAAUAGAGAAAUACAGAUUAAGUAUCCCUACAAUGGAAUAUUAUUCAGCAAUAGAAAGAAAUGAAGUAUGGACCCAUGCAUGGAAGGAUGCAGGGGUGUUUCCUACAGCAUAGAAGGACCUUGAAAACACAGGGCUAAGUGAGAGGAGCCGGACAGGAAGGAUCAUGUAUUGUGUGGUCUGCUCAUGUAUGAUCUGCUCACAUAUUGUAUGAUCUGCUUACAUGAAAUGCCCAAGGUAGGCAAAUCCAGAGUCAGGAAAUAGGUCGGUGGUUGCCAGGGACAGGGACUUUUGGGGGAAAAUAGAGAGUGGCUGUUAACAGGGACCUGCUUUCUUCUAGGGUGAUGAAAAUGGUCUAACAUUGAUUGUAGUGAGGGUUGUGCAGCUCUGUGAAUAUGCUAAAGAACCAUCGAAUUGGACACUUUAAAUGGGUGCAAAUUAUAUUCCAAUAAACUAUCUGUAGAAACUUAAGAGUUUAUUAUUAUUAUUAUUUUGAGACGGAGUCUUGGUCUGUCGCCCAGGCCGGAGUGCAGUGGCG
rnacentral:lncRNA from 1 species